rnacentral:rRNA from 1 species
GACGAACGCUGGCGGCGUGCUUAACACAUGCAAGUCGAACGGAAAGGCCCUUCAGGGUACUCGAGUGGCGAACGGGUGAGUAACACGUGGGUGAUCUGCCCUGCACUUUGGGAUAAGCCUGGGAAACUGGGUCUAAUACCGAAUAGGACCACGCGCUUCAUGGUGUGUGGUGGAAAGCUUUUGCGGUGUGGGAUGGGCCCGCGGCCUAUCAGCUUGUUGGUGGGGUAAUGGCCUACCAAGGCGACGACGGGUAGCCGGCCUGAGAGGGUGACCGGCCACACUGGGACUGAGAUACGGCCCAGACUCCUAUGGGAGGCAGCAGUGGGGAAUAUUGCACAAUGGGCGCAAGCCUGAUGCAGCGACGCCGCGUGAGGGAUGACGGCCUUCGGGUUGUAAACCUCUUUCAAUAGGGACGAAGCGCAAGUGACGGUACCUAUAGAAGAAGCACCGGCCAACUACGUG